GGGGAUAGAGCUCAGUGAUGCAGCACUUGCCUGGCAAGCAUGAGAUCCUGGGUUCAAUUCCCAGUACCA
rnacentral:tRNA from 1 species